UGGUGGAGCCGCAUGAUGGCGUUUGUGAUGUUGCACAGUGCGAUUAUGUGCUUUGGCGGCAGGACUUUGAGGACUCUGUUUUGAAUUCCAUCAGCGCCAGGGCCUUUCCUCUUUUUCUGAUAACGGAUAGUAAGGGAGAUUUCAUGGGGUGUAGUGUGUCUGAAGUCAGAAUUUAGGAGAACGAAGUUCUGAGAUACGGCUUUGGUACGCUCGUGAAAGUCAACAAAGUCUGCUGGACUAGGUACUGGGAGGACUGAAGACUGAUUGCAGCUUUUUCUUCGACUAAAGAAUAGGUGGAGCCGUUCUGUUUUAGUGGCGGGAGAUGGGGAUCUCUGUUACGAAGAGAACGGAUCACUUUCCAAGGGCUUCGGGGGUUUGUUUCACCCUGAGCGAUAUAAUCAUCGAAGGAUACGCUGCAGAAUUUAGUGAGACGAGUUUUUAGUUCUCUUUGAAGGGCGUUUACUUCUGCACGGUGUGCGGGGACACGGUGUCGUUAUGUUGAUUGGACGACCGACUUUAAUGGGGGCUGGAAGGUGGUCCGAACUUAGUGCGUCAAUGACGAUAGGAUUAGCGGAAAGUGUAAAAUUUUUGGUGACGAAAAUCUCAAGGAUGUCAGGGAAUUGAUUGUGGGGGGCAGGGAGAAACGUGGGGUCAUCGGGUGCUUCAACUGUGAGGUUGAAGUGAAGAAUUUUGGCAAGAAGUGAGUUGCCUUUAAUAUUUGUUUGUCGACAGCCCCAAGAGACGUGUUUAGCGUUGAAGUCACCUGCAACGAUGGUCGGAGCGCCUGGGGGGAGUAGAGGGGGGAGUUCAAAAAGGUCUCUGUCCGAAGGGGGAGAGUAGAGAGAAAUAAUCCUAAGAGGGCCGGUGGCUAACGAGAUUUCGAUGCCUAUCGUUUCCAAUGAGUUUGUGGCCAAAGAGAUAGGCCUGUGCUUUCAAGAAUUCCUAAUUAGAAUGGCGAUCACGGUCCCUUCUGUAGGAUGAGAAGUUUGGGACGAAAAGUUUGAUUUUUUCGGGCAGGUGAGUUUCGGUUAUGCAAAUAAUACCGAUUGACUUAUCCUCGAGGAAGUGCUCGAGUUCAGUCAAUUUACCUCUAAUGCUUUGCGCAUUCCAGGUAACUAUGCGAAGAUUGUCUGGGUGGGCUGUAUUACACAUUGGUGGGUGUUUGUAGGACGGUGACCAGACUUGCUACCAUCAUUUGAACGAUGGCCUGGAUCCUCUGUUCAAGAGAAGAAGCUGCAGGGAUUGGCGUAAGAUUUUUGGGGGAGAUACCUUCCGGGGAUGAAUGUUGGACGGGACGCUAGUUGCACGGACUUUUGUGUGUUGAGGAUACUACAGAUUUUUUUCCUCUUUGGAAUCUUGGGGCAGCCGCGGUAUGUGGUGCGGUGACUUCCUUUGCAAUUAGCGCAGGAAGGAGUAGCAUCUUUCUUGUCCUUUGUAGUGAUAUGGUUGCUGAAGGAAUGGAAAGGUGUGGGAAUUCAUAUGAUUUGGAGGAGUGGGAUGUGAGUAGGGUGAAAAUAUUUUCAGAAGGAGGAAGAUGAGUGUUGGGAAAGCGAAGAUCUCUUGAGUUGUUAAUAUAAAAGAAGAAAUAUAUUGUGUAGUCAUUAGUGGUGUAAGCAGUAUGGGAUCGUGCUUCGAGAACCGUUCAUUAAAAUUAUUUAGUGGUAGAGGAGUCAGUGUGUACCUACGCGUUCUAGGGAAAAAGGCAGGUGUUAAACGUGUAGGUGAUAUCACGUCUCCAAACCGCAUUCUGAUGGUGGUUGAGCGGCGAAGAACUUGUUCUGUAGGAGGAAGCGGGAUAAGAGGGGAGAAAUUGGUAAGCGAAGAACGUUGUGUCUCUGGCGUUGUCUCAUUAUUUAUGGUUGUCUCAUUCUGUUGUUAUGUGCAGUGGACGCAGAAAUUCGGAUGGAUGUUUGGUAAGAAUGAGAAGAAGCCGACGGGGCGAAGUCCCGUUUUAGGAAAUUUAGGACGGGUGCUUAUGAUUUAAUUGGAGUCGUAACGACGAUGGCGUUAUUCGUUGCUACAACCUCCACGACGGUGGCAACGGGUAGGAAGAAGCUGGGGAUGAUGUUUAUUUCUGGUGACAUGGAGACGGGAAGACUCGUUGAUUUUUAUCAACACAAAAAUUGCGAACCAAGACGGUAACGUCUUGCUAUGAGGUACGAAUUAUUAAAAACUGGUAAGAAUCCCAAGAAAUCACAUCUAAUAUUACUGGGGAGAGAACCUAAUUCUAUCUAAUACUGAAAAAGCAUUUCUGCCGCCUCUACAUUUGUGCCGUCCGAGGCUCAUGGCCCCAUUGCAUCCCCUUCCACGCUACGCCAUUGUCUUGGUUUAAAAAUUUCCGUUUGCUACUUCUAAAAAAAAGUAAUAAAAUGUUAUAAUAGUUUACGGUUUCAGAAUAAUCUGACAAAGUAUCACCUUAAUUUUUUAAUUUAUUUAAUCUGGUACGAAUUACACUCAUGCCAAAAAACUUAAAAUCAUUAAUUAAUGAAAUGUAUAUAAAUUAUUGUUACAAUUAAUUGAAUGUCAAUAAAAACACAAUCUUAACUACAUUAAUGCGAGUUAACUUUUUUUGCAGAACUUUAGUAUGCUUUAGUUCUGCUUAUCAUAUGCCAACUGAAAACUGUAUUUCUUUAAUAUUGAGGAUAUUCAAAAAACGCUCUAAAUGAGAAUCACAUGCCUUACUGCAAGUUGUAUAAAUGUUGAUCAUUUUUGUCCCCAAUGCCAUGAAUAUAUUGGAACAAGUACAAAGUGAA